rnacentral:rRNA from 1 species
CCCUAUGGGGUGCAGCAGUCGCGAAAACUCCGCAAUGCACGAAAGUGUGACGGGGCUACCCCGAGUGCCUUCCGCUGAGGGAGGCUUUUCUUUGGUAUAAUUAGCCAUUGGAAUAAGGAGAGGGCAAGACUGGUGUCAGCCGCCGCGGUAAUACCAGCUCUCCGAGUGGUAGGGAUGAUUAUUGGGCUUAAAGCGUCCGUAGCCGGCUUAGCAAGUCUCCUGUUAAACUCAGCGACUUAAUCGUUGAAUCGCGGGAGAUACUACUAGGCUAGGAGGCGGGAGAGGUCGACGGUACUUCUGGGGUAGGGGUGAAAUCCUAUAAUCCCGGGAGGACCACCAGUGGCGAAGGCUGUCGACUAGAACGCGCUCGACGGUGAGGGACGAAAGCUGGGGGAGCGAACCGGAUUAGAUACCCGGGUAGUCCCAGCUGUAAACGAUGCGGGCUAGGUGUUGGGAUGGCUACGUGCCAUUUCAGUGCCGCAGGGAAGCCAUUAAGCCCGCCGCCUGGGGAGUACGGCCGCAAGGCUGAAACUUAAAGGAAUUGGCGGGGGAGCACCACAAGGCGUGAAGCUUGCGGUUCAAUUGGAGUCAACGCCGGGAACCUUACCGGGGGCGACAGCAGAAUGAAGGCCAGAUUGAAGGUCUUGCUAGACAAGCUGAGAGGAGGUGCAUGGCC